rnacentral:rRNA from 1 species
GACGGAGGGGGCAAGCGUUGUCCGGAAUCACUGGGCGUAAAGGGCGCGUAGGUGGCUUCGUGCGUCGGUGCUGAAAGCGCCGGGCUUAACCCGGCGAGGCGUGCCGAUACGACGAGGCUCGAGGCAGGGAGAGGGUAGCGGAAUUCCGGGUGUAGUGGUGAAAUGCGUAGAUAUCAGGAGGAACACCGGUGGUGUAGACGGCUUUCUGGACCGUAACUGACGCUGAGACACGAAAGCGUGGGUAGCAAACAGG